UAUACUUGUCAAAUUAUUUCCUUACCCAACUACUUUGAUCUAAAGGAUCAAAGUACCCAUCUCUUUGGAAGAAAAAAUCAAGAGUAAAAGUUUAGACAACAAAUAUUUUUAUUGAUAGAGAGAAACUUUACAAGAGAGGUUUUUAGGUAGAGAAUCUGAUGAUCCCCAAUUAAAGUCCUAUGCUUCCUUUUAUAGGAGAAUGGAGAACUAGAUAAGCUUCAACUAUAGAUAAACUCAAAAUAAAAGAUUACAACUCUAUCCCAUGUUCUAUUAUAUAAGCCCUAUCUAUUCAAACAAGAUAAGCCUUAUCUUAGGCAUACACUUCUAUGAGAUAUUUACAACCUAUUUUAUUUAAGUCGGUCCCACUAUUAUAUGAUGGACGUAAUAAAACAAAACACACAUAUGUUGUUGUCAUGUGAAAACAUGAGCAAGCAGAUAAUUGAGCAGGUUGUCAAGCAGGUGGAUCGACAGCUUGUGAUUGAGCAGCUUGCCAAGUAGGUGGAUCAGUAGCUUGUAAGCUCCUUGGAAGCAGGUGUCUAACAAGUAGCUGGAUAAGCAACUUGUAGGAAAACCCAUCUUAGAGGAUAACCCGAUUGAGAAGGUCUCAUGGUAAACUCUAGAAGGUAUUUAUAACCUUAAUGUGUCCUUUUGGAAAAGAUGCAUUGGUUCAACAAAAAGGCACCUAUUCAGUACAGUCGCGUCACUGGCGCCUAGUCUGUGCUGGGUCUGCGCCUGAUUUGCAGCUACAGGUGACACUAUUCGAAUAUCAGUAAGUACCUACAUCCGCAGGUUAUCGAAGUAUGCACGCAAAUCACCCAACAAUGCAAAACAAUGUGUCUUUUACCUCGAAGGGUCGCAUUCCUUCGAGAUGCGUUGCGUAUGCGUAUGCGUUUGCAUGGCAUCCGAAAUGUGCCCACACAUGGAGAAAAAUAUUUCUAUCAGACUCUUUGGAUUAAAAUUUCACUUGUUCAUCAAGUUUUAAAUAAAUGUUGUCUAAAAAAUAGAUCUCAUUGAUCGAUUAUUUGCCAAAUCCGAAUCCUAGCGAGCGAGCAAUGACGGCAACAGCACAAGACACGACCUUGUUCUUGCCUCACUAUCCAAGUGGAGUAAGUGUUCCUUAUUAUAAACACUCAAAAGUUCCCUUCUCCCACCAAGUGUUCCUUAUUAUAAACACUCAAAAGUUCCCUUCUCCCACCAAUGUGGGAGAAUUAGUGAACUUUCCAUUGAAAGAGUACACUUUCUAUUUUACUGACUCUAUUUCUCUCCACUAUUUUUUCCUCCAUUUUCCAUUCAUACAUAUACCUUGAACCCAACAUAAACGGGAUUAGAAUGACAAAGGGAGGAAGUAACGCAAAGUAGCGCUUCUAGGGAAGUGAUUUUCAAUAAUAAAAUUCAAAUCGAAAUUAAGAAUUUUAAUGCAACAUCAAAAGCAUAAAUAAUAUAACAUCAAUGACAAACGAAAACACAAAUAAUAAAACAUCUUCUGACAAUCUAAUAAAUAACAAUAAAAAACAACUGAAAAAAAAGAUAUAUUUAAAAUCAUAAAGUAAGUAACGAAUAAAGUAGGAUUAAGAAGUAAAUAAGUUAUUCUGAUGAUAGAACGUUAGAAAAAUUAAGAAACACCAAAUUACAGUUACAGACUUCAGAUUAAAUAUACUAAUAAAGAACUAAUCAAAAAGA